UCCAGUUUGGAGAUCAACUGGUGUUCUGUUUGACCAAAUAGGGCCCACAGGUCUACAUAUCUUUAUAAAAAUAUCUGAGUUUCUGAAGGCACCUGGGUGGCUCAGUCAGUCAGGCAUCUGACUGUUGAUUUUGGCUCAAGUCACGAUCUCAUGGUUCGUGAGUGCAAGCCCAAGUCCUGCUCUGUGCUGACAGUACGGAACCUGCUUGGGAUUCUCUCUCCCUCUCUCCGCCCCUCCUCUGUGCUUAUGCACACACGCAUAUGUGCGCACACUCUCACUCUCUCUCAAAAUAAAUAAACAAAUUUUAAAAGUAUAUCUGAAUUUCAGGCUUUCCUUGAAACCGUAGCAACACUGGGCCCACAUCCUGCGGGGAAGCAACUGGCUCACCAAUUAAAUGAAGCAUGCACUCUACAGUUCACCACCAGUGCAUUUCACUCCUUAUACGUAUGUUUUAUACACAGCAAAACACAUGGAUCUUAAAAGUACAAGUUCAAUGAGUUCUGUAAAAGAUAUACACGCCUGCGUAACAGUCACCCGACCUCACAGUUCUCUCGUGUUCCUUUCCAGUUACUACCCCUCUUCCUUGCUCUUUCCUUCUUACUCAUCUUUGUCGCCUGCGUUUGGACUUGAAAUUCCUCUUCGGAUUAUAAACAGGGAAGCCAAACCCUCCGGAAAGGCGGAGCCAGGAGUACAGUAAAGGCUUCCAACUUCUGGUCUUUAAUACCACCCUUAAAACAAAGUCUUUCCAACCUGUUGCCCAAGGGUCGACCCGAAAGAAAAUGCCAAGAUCUCCUCAUCACAGGCAUUGACGAGACACCAGGGCAGGUCAACAAUUAACGCUGGUGACUUCACUCCGAAUGGAUCAGAUUUGGAAGCGGCAAGUAGGUAGCAAAUGGGAGGUGACUGCUUUCCACGGCUCUCUUCUCCUUGGCAUCGAGCGGUGGGCAUCAGCACGCCCCCCCCCCCCAGAAUCUGUCAAAAUGUGAACUGUCCAGAGGAAGGCCGGCAGUCUGUUUCACACGCCCGCAAGGUGAUCCUAACAUGGGUUCCGUGGAUGGAGGGCGGCAGACGGCAGAGGGCUCGGCCUUGGGGACCUGACUUCCUGCUCUGGAAUCCCAGCUCCUCUGCCUCCGGGCCCCCGUGUCCCUGUGAAAGUUACUCAACAUCUCUUUGCCUUGCUUUUUCUCCUGUUAAAAUUAGGGGAUAAUUAAAAAAAAAAAAAAAAAAAAAAAA